GUGUUUGUGUCCUGGGAUGCUUUGGGGUUAACCCUGGAUAGCACUCAUGGUGAUUAGCUCGUGGUGUUCUUGGGAGACAUUUGAAGUCAGCUGGUGUCCUGCUGAUGGAGCUGCUGAGUUCAGCAUCACAUCGACAUAAUUUCAUGAUGCGUUUGCACGAAGGGCUUUGAUGCUGUUUCUGAGUGAGACUUCAGAAGCCUUCUGGAUCCUAUUCUGGCCCACCAUGGCAUGGUCAGCAGAUGAGAAACAGAUGGACUUGUGUGUGGUGGGAAGAAGUUGUCCUGGUCAAGCUCUCCUCCAGGCCAGUCCUUUCUGAGAUUGGAGAAGUGAGAAGAGAAACAGAAAGACCAGCUGGGAGCUGCUGCAGUCACCCAGGUGAGAGAGACUGUGGCCUGGACCAAUGCUUGGCAUGGAGGUGGAGAGAAGUGAUAUAACUGAUUUAAGUCGAUCAGCUGCUUGAUCCAGAUAAUGCCAAGUGAGUUUAUUGCCAUCUCUUCAUAUUUUACAACCAGAUCACUUCUGCAUAAGACCCCAUGAAAGAUUAAGAAGGGAAAAACAAUCAAGGAAUAAACAGUUAAUUUGAAAAUAAACUCUCCAACAGUUGAUCUUAUAAUAUUUUCCUAAAAUCUAUUAAGAUUUUUUUCAAAGUAAUUCUUCCGUGAAGGCACAUCUUCUUUGGACUGAAACAACCAGACUUUCCUUUUGGUGUGGUGCUGUUUCAGUCAAAAUGGCCAACAGACUAUGCAAAAAAACAAGUUCUAAGUUAACUCAAAUAUGGAGAAAAUCUGGAUAUCUGGUAUGGGCAUGUUUUCAAAAUGUUUUAAUUACAAAUUGAUUUAUAAAUAUCAUUGUCUGGUACGGUAGUUUAAAAAAACACAUCAUUUUAAAAUAUCUGCCAAAUUUUAAACUGUAGUUUUUUAUUAAAGUACAAAGAAGACUUCAUCCACAGUCAUGACAUUUUCCAACUCGUAUAUCCUGAUGAAGACUUUCUAUGGACAACUGUUGAACCCCACCUGGCCUUGGAUCCUGUGCUAUCUACCCUUCUCAAUAUCAUUCUCUAUCUAGUUUGGUUUUUCCAAAUUUAAUCACCAAGAUAUUCAGACAUUAUUACAAAAUAUUAUUAUAAACUCUUUAAUUACCUUGAUAAUAUUAUUGGCAAUAUUAAAGACUUUUAGCCAUAUCUUUCAUGGUGUGUGCUUUGUGUGAAAAGGAAAGAUAUCUUUGAUUAAAGUUUGAAACCAUUAAUAAUAUGGAACACCAUACAAGUGACACUUUUCCAAAUUAGAAAAUUGAGAUCAAAAAGUAUUUACUGGCUUAUAUUUGUAUCUCAUUUUAACAUUUUUUUUUUCUAGAGAUGUGGUCUCGCUGUAUCACACAGGCUGAUCUCAAACUCCUGGCCUCAAGCUAUCCUCCUGCCUCAACCUUUUGUUUACUUUUAAUGUUAUUCUUUUUCCACUUUGUUGAGAUAUCUAGGUCAAAGCCUAAAGGCUAUGUAUUUUAAUUUUAAGGCUGCAUGUUUAUAUCCUCUCUUACCACUAUCAUCCUGGCUAAUGUCUUCAUGACUCAUUAUUUCCAGUUUUAUCAUGGAAUUGUCUUGAAGUUGGUGCAUAUUUCACAGACACCAAUCUGAAGUGCGGAUCAUAGCACUUGUUAGAAACUGGUUGACUUUGACUCCUUUUUACUCUGAGAUAGAAUCUAAUUGGUUCUGUAACCUUAAUUUUUUAUUGGUAAAAGCUUUCAUGUCAGGCCUCCUCAUAGGAUGCUGACCAGCCAAUGGAUUGUUUGCCUUUGGUCAGGUGCCUACCCUCUGGUCCAAUUAGCUGAGGCCAAAAUGUAGUAGAGAAUGGUAGCCAAAGAAUGAAAAAGGAAUUUCCUAAAGCAGUCUUGCUCAGCAGGUGCUAUGGUCAGUUUUUAGAAGGGUUUGUGUUUGUGAUAAGUGUUCUAAGGAUUGGCCAAUACUGUGCACAAUCUAAGGAUCUAAGAAUAAUUUAUUAACAAAGUGGCCAAAGAACUUCUUUUAGAUAACCUCUGACAAACAUUUUUUAUUGGCAUGUACCCUAAAGAUAGCAGUACAGUGAAGCUACAGGAACUGAAAAGAUGCUGCAUUGGAGUUUAAAAAUUAAAGGUAAAGACUUAUGUAACUGUCUUACAGAUAAUUUUAGGCAAAGUAAUCUUGAAAUAAAUUCUACUAAUUAGUUAGAGAAACAACUGAAUACUGUUUAAUGGCAAGAGCACUAGUCUUAGAAUCAGGAAUCAUGAGUUGUUGUGGUUCUGAGACUUUCUGUGUCAUCCUGAGGAAAUCAUUUCAGCUUUGUGGCCGCACCCGGUAUUUUCCCGGAGCCCAUAAGAUGAAUAUUGUAAUAGGCUAGUUCUACUUCUAAACCAUCCUUGAUCUGAAAUUUGAGAAACAGAACUGAGAAUAAAAAUGAAAUAAAAGCUUGAAUAAAUAAGUUAGUAGAAAAAAAAGCCAGAGAGAAAUUAAGUUAUUUAUAGAGCAUUCACUAUGAUAUCCCAUGUGCUUUACACAUACUGACUUCUUAUUCCUUCAGAGAAAAGCUAUGAGGUUGCAUCCAGUUUACUGUAGAAAACAAGAUACCUUUCCCCAGUCAUACAAAUUAUAAACAAUGGAGACAACCCAAUUUUAUUUAGCUAAAUAAUAAAAUGCUUUCCAUCAUACCAAAUUCUUCCUUAAAUGCAGGGAGAAAUAAUGCUUGCAGAAAAAUAGAGGCAGGUUAAAAAACAGUAAUGUUUAACAAGGAAAUAACAGUAUUUUCACUAAAUGAUGUGGAUCUUGGGUUGAGAAUGCUGACAUAUGACUCAGAAUUCAAACCUUUUGCUCUGAUUGUUUUCAUUUAGAUUUUAUGAAAGCUGUAGGUGUGUGAGUUAACGAGGAACGCUUCAGCACUUCCUUGGCCUUGCAUAAACAUCUACAUGCAAAACAGCAAGGAGCGCUCUGUUUAUCACAGCUGCAGUCAGGCCCACAAAACUGUUCCUACCACUGAAGAUGAAAUUUGUAAAAUUCUCUCUCAAAAAAUAAUAUAUGCAUCUUGUUUGAUCGCC